AACUCUACAGAACAGAAGUGAAGCUCCAAGAUUUCAACAUUUCUGAAGGGAGAUUCUGACUUAGAAAUACAGGUGACCUGAAGAAGCUCAUGAAAAACAUGAAUAUGCCUUUUUCAGAAUACAUUUCACCAAUUUUAAGAAGUCCCUCACAUCAUAACCUUGUUUCCUUCUAAUGAACCUGGAACUGCAGAGUAAAUAUUGUUGACUCUGUGUCAGAUUGCUUGUUUUGUUCCUGGAUUCUUCAGUGAUGACGAUCAGAGUCUGAGUGAACCUGCUGUCAGACAGGUUGGCCUGAUUGACGAUGCCAUCGUCCAUCGCCGAUGGCUGAUAGACAUCACGAUGCUGCGCUGGCAAACAGCGUCAUCAGCUCCAGUAUCUCGCCCGUGCAUCUGUUGUCAUGCAACAGAGAAGUCACGUUCUAUAGGCAGUUUCUAUAGACAGUUGUGAACGUGCUGACAGCUGGUUGCCCAGGCUAUGGAUUAAAGGUAAUACUGUUGGCCAGCAGAGCCCUUCUCACCCUGACGGCCAACCGCUGCUGUCAGACAACAUCUCCAAGAUGCUAUAAACUGCAGGACCAGAUGGCCAUCCCAAGGUUUCUAGAGAUUACAGCAGCUCCAGACUGAAUCCAAACUCACUUUUGAAGACUUCAGAUGACACCAACGCUCACAAAGACUACAGACGACAACUGUGCAUGAACACACAAAACAUUGGACACACAAAACAAAUAUUAUCCUUAUUUUGCCUAUAAGGGUAAAUUUGAUGAUUUUCAAACUGCUUUAUUGUAAUGUCUCUUAUAUCUGUAAAUGAACAAUAUUUACUCUCUGAGUUAUGUGGACCUACAUGUCCCCUUUUAUUUUUUAAGCAUCACUUUAAAAAUGUUGAAAGAUAAUGUUAAUGUUAACUGAAUACAA